GUGGGUUUAAGAAAAUUGUUGGAAGGCAUAGCAUAUUUGGGGUAACAUAAACCUAUAGCAAUAUGAUUUUACUAGGAUACUGCCUCACUUUUAAUAAUAGUUUUCACUCUAUAAGCCAAUAUGUAAUUUAUAGGCUAUAGUGUAUUGCAUUGUAACCAAUGGUGUGGGUAGAGUAGAACGUGUGGCUGGGCAUAUAGACCCAAAUCCCCCAUGAAAUAACACCAUAUAUAGAUUCUACAGAUACCAGUGAAGAGUCCUAAUCCCACUUUUACUUCGGCACGUAGAAUAGUUCUCUAUAAACCAAUAUGUAUUUCAUAUACAGUGUUGCAUUGGGGGCAUUUAUUUGACCUUGUUUUAAAACCCAAAUGAAAUGACUUAAUUAUGAACACAUGAGUUAUUCUUGAUUAUUGUUUAGACAAUUAUUGGCCAUAUAUCAUGAAUAAGUACAGGUUACGGGCUCUUUUAUACUAUUACGUGGGGAACUUUUAUUUAUUUGGAAUAUUUUCGAAAUUCCGUGACCCAGAAGUACUUUUUUAGUGUUGCGGACACUUUCUUUUGGAUUAGCAAAUUGUAGCUACACCAACAACAGAAAUACAACAAUUCAUAAAUGUAUUGAGCAACAAACAUCUUCAUACGGAUUAUAACUACCAGUUCAAUCAAACAUAAAACGCAGACCGCAAUUUGUGACUGGAUUAAGGCGAAUUAAGGACGAAGAGAGACAAAUAUAGCUACUAGCUAACGUAGCGUCAGCCUGUUAACGCAAAGGCUAAGCAGCAAACUGACAUGAAUUCUCUCGUCGGCUAUGGCGUGUCCUCUGAUUCUGACAGCGAUGGGGAUAUUGUAAACAACAAGAAGACUGAGAGCAAGGUGGAUGGAGAGACCCAGAAGAAGGGCCGCAAUUUCCUCCUAGAGUCCGGGUCAGCCUCCAGUGAGUCGGACUGUGACUCCAACCCAGAGGAAGAGGUGAACCCCAUAUCCCAACUACAACCAAAACGCCCUUCCUGUAUGGGACCCCCCUCAGAGUCCCGGACCCCUCUCCUCCCCGCACCCACUAGCUCCCUCUCCCACAAACUCCCCCCUCCCCCCCUCGGGGCCUAUUCCAAGAGUGGCGUAUUCGCCAACCCCUUCAAGGCUCAAGCCGACCAAAAGCUCAACGUCUUGCAGAAGCAUGUCCCUCUCACAGUGCAGGCCCGGCCCUCCCAGAUAGGGGGCAAGAGGAUGUGUGUGGCGUACAGGAAGGACGGACGCUGCAGGUUCGGGAUUAAAUGCAAGUUUGCCCACGACAGCGAUCUCCAGAGCUCCAUCAUUCCCAAUGACUAUGACCCCCCUGAGGAUGACGCUCCCGGAUCGCAGCAAGCUGACCCCAACGCAGGAGGCUCUUCAUACAUGGGUCGCCAGAACUUUCAUCACAACCAGGGAGGAGACCCUGAAGAGGAGGAGGGUCAGCAGUCUAGGAAGAGGAGAGUAGGGCUGAGUAACACCCUAGUGCCUCCUAAAAGGGCGUUGAAGAAUUAUGCAAUGCAGAGGAAGAGAGAACAGGUCAAUUUGAACUGA
ensembl:lncRNA